GCCUCGAUAGCUCAGUCGGGAGAGCGUUUGACUGUAGAUCUAAAGGUCCCUGGUUCAAUCCCGGGUCGAGGCA
rnacentral:tRNA from 1 species